GAUGAACGCUGGCGGCGUGCUUAACACAUGCAAGUCGAACGAAGCAUUUGGGACAGAUUUUUUCGGAAUGAAGUUGCUUAUGACUGAGUGGCGGACGGGUGAGUAACGCGUGGGUAACCUGCCUUGUACUGGGGGAUAGCAGCUGGAAACGGCUGGUAAUAACGCAUAAGCGCACAAUGUUGAAUGACAUGUUGUGAAAAACUCGGGUGGGAUAAGAUGGACCCGCGCUUGUUUAGAUAGUAGGUGAGAUAAAAGCCCACCAAGGCGACAAUGAGUAGCCGAGAUGUGAGACUCACUGGCGACACUUAGACUAGGACACGGUCGGGACUCCUACGCAAGGCAGCAAUGGCGAAUGGAGCAAAAUGGAGGGAGCUCUGAUGGUGCUAGGCCGCGUAAGUGAUGAUAUAAUUCGUGAAGUAAAGCUCUAGCAGCAGUGAAGAUAGUGACGGUACCUGACUAGGAAGCCCCGGCUAACUACGUG
rnacentral:rRNA from 1 species